rnacentral:tRNA from 1 species
GGGGGCGGAUGGUGACUGGUGUUGUCUGCCGUCUUCAAAACGGUUGUGGGGCGGUGAGAAUCGUCCCGGGUGGGUUCGAUUCCCACACGCUCCCGCCA